rnacentral:tRNA from 3 species
AACGAGACAAUUUAGUUAACCCAUUUUUAGGUUGUUUGGAUCCACAU